rnacentral:rRNA from 1 species
CACGGGGGGAGCAAGCGUUGUUCGGAAUCACUGGCGUAAAGGGCGUCUAGGCGGUCAAGUAAGUGGGAUGUGAAAUGCCCCGGCUCACCCGGGGAACCGGCAUCCCCAUACUACGUUUGGCUUGAGUACGGGAGAGGAUGUGGGAAUUCCUGGUGUAGCGGUGAAAUGCGUAGAUAUCAGGAGGAACACCGGUGGCGAAGGCGCACAUCUGGCCC